GUGAGGAAUAUUGGUCAAUGGACGCAAGUCUGAACCAGCCAUGUCGCGUGCAGGAAGACUGCCCUAUGGGUUGUAAACUGCUUUUGUACGGGAAGAAAUAUAGUUACGUGUAAUUAUUUGCCGGUACCGUACGAAUAAGCAUCGGCUAACUCCGUGCCAGCAGCCGCGGUAAUACGGAGGAUGCAAGCGUUAUCCGGAUUCAUUGGGUUUAAAGGGUGCGUAGGCGGAUUAUUAAGUCAGGGGUGAAAGUUUGCGGCUCAACCGUAAAAUUGCCUUUGAUACUGGUAAUCUUGAGUACAUUUGAGGUAGGCGGAAUGUGUUGUGUAGCGGUGAAAUGCAUAGAUAUAACACAGAACACCGAUUGCGAAGGCAGCUUACUAAACUGUAACUGACGCUGAGGCACGAAAGCGUGGGGAUCGAACAGGAUUAGAAACCCCGGUAGUCC
rnacentral:rRNA from 1 species